GCCUUCGUGGUGUAGUGGUCAGCACGCUCGACGCGUAACCGAGAGGAUCAUGGUUCGAUUCCCGGCGAAGGCG
rfam:Stegodyphus mimosarum contig121947, whole genome shotgun sequence.